rnacentral:rRNA from 1 species
AACGAACGCUGGCGGCAUGCCUAACACAUGCAAGUCGAACGAGACCUUCCGGCCUUGUUGCGCUCCUCUGCGUGCCGCGUGGGAACCUGCCCUUAGGUUCCCUAUCCCUCCCCGUAGGAGAUCCUCAUGCCGCUUAAUGUCUUCCGACCAAGGAUUUCUCGCCUUUGGAUGGGCCCGCGUUGGAUUCGCUAGUUGGUAGUGUACUAGCCUGCCAAGGCGACGAUCCAGAGCUGGUCGGUGAGGAUGAUUAGCCACAAUGGAACUGCGACACGGACUAGAAUGCGACGGGAGGGAGCAGUGGGGAAUAUUGGACAAGGGGCGAAAGCCUGAUCCAGCAAUGCCGCGGGAGAGAGGAAGGCGGUAGGGUUGUAAAGCUGUUUGACCCGGGAUGAGAAUGACAGUACCGGGAGAAUAAGCACCGGCUAACUACGUG